AACGCACCUUGCGCUCUCUAGUUAUUCUGGAGAGCAUGCUUGUUUGAGUGUCGCGAACCUCUCAACCCCGUCAAGGGCUUAAUUGCCUUUGAUUGCUUGGGCUUGGAUCAUGGUCUUUGCCGUUACCUUUCGGGGUUUGGGCUAGAUUGAAAUGUAACAAGUUGAAUCAAAUCGGUAACAGCUUGACCUGAUGUUGUAAUCUACUCAUCGGGGAUGUUGCCAUUGAGAGGACUUUAAUAGAACCCCUUAUCGUACUUCGCGUACAAUUUAUGACCUCAAAUCAAGUAGGACUACCCGCUGAACUUAA
rnacentral:misc_RNA from 2 species